CAAACAACUAGAUACUGGAAGGGGCACUCUACUCCACUUGUGUGAUGACGUGAUUCAACAAGAAGUAAAGGAGGUUAUAAUCUCAUUCUUCAUAUUGAUGGAGCAGGGGAAAUCUACCUUGCAGGAUCUUGAUCUACGCUGUGAAGAACUAAUAAAA